rnacentral:rRNA from 1 species
UGGGGAAUAUUGGACAAUGGGCGCAAGCCUGAUCCAGCCAUACCGCGUGAGUGAAGAAGGCCCUCGGGUUGUAAAGCUCUUUUGUUGGGAAAGAAAUCCUGUUGGCUAAUACCCGGCAGGGAUGACGGUACCCAAAGAAUAAGCACCGGCUAACUUCGUGCCAGCAGCCGCGGUAAUACGAAGGGUGCAAGCGUUACUCGGAAUUACUGGGCGUAAAGCGUGCGUAGGUGGUGGUUUAAGUCUGUUGUGAAAGCCCUGGGCUCAACCUGGGAAUUGCAGUGGAUACUGGAUCACUAGAGUGUGGUAGAGGGUGGCGGAAUUCCCGGUGUAGCAGUGAAAUGCGUAGAGAUCGGGAGGAACACCCGUGGCGAAGGCGGCCACCUGGGCCAACACUGACACUGAGGCACGAAAGCGUGGGGAGCAAACA